ensembl:lincRNA 4930426I24Rik RIKEN cDNA 4930426I24 gene
AGCGGCUACGGCUCGCGAGCCGCCUCCGCCCAACUUUCUCCCUCGGCUUUCCUAGUUUAUUUUCUUUCAGGCGCCCUAAUGGGCGGUUUUGACUUCUUGGUGGCACUGCGUAAUAAGCCAGUGUCACCCCUCUGACUCCCGUCCCCGCACGCGUGAUCUUGUUAAGGAAUUAGUCCUUUUGCGCGGAGUUCGGUUGAAUGAGAAGAAUAGGUUGGCAGCACAGACUUGUGAGAGGAAGUAGAUGAAAAAGAGUCUUUGGCACUUGUUUAGCCGGAAUCUGAGAAUAAUUUUGGAAAGUAUUCUCUGGAACAAGGGGGUGGGCAGAAGCUGGCUCCUGUAAAAGGACUCCCUACAGGAAAACGGAGACCUGUAAUGUAGAACGACCGCCUCGCCUUACGGAUGGGAAGCUGAGGACAGUCGUCGCUGUAAAACUUUGACAGGUGCCCAAUAUGAGAUGAAAAGAACAAGGGAAACGGGCCUAAGUCGUGUGAUAAGGGGCUCCAGGAAAGAAGCACCCCUCUGAAACUGGCCAGUAAGUCGUGUGAGACAGUGAUGGAGAAGACAGUAUGAGAAACAUGAAAGUUUUCGUUGUCUAAAAGGUAAUGUUGACAGAAUUCAAUAAAAAACUUUAAAAGAG